rnacentral:rRNA from 1 species
AUUGAACGCUGGCGGCAGGCCUAACACAUGCAAGUCGAACGAGUGGCGGACGGGUGAGUAAUGUCUGGGAAACUGCCCGAUGGAGGGGGAUAACUACUGGAAACGGUAGCUAAUACCGCAUACCAUCGGAUGUGCCCAGAUGGGAUUAGCUAGUAGGUGGGGUAACGGCGCACCUAGGCGACGAUCCCUCGCUGGUCUGAGAGGAUGACCAGCCACACUGGCACGGAGACACGGUCCAGACUCCGACGGGAGGCAGCAGUGGGGAAGAGUGCACAAUGGGCGCAAGCCGGAUGCAGCCAUGCCGCGUGGAUGAAGAAGGCCUGCGGGUUGUAAAGGACUUUCAGCGAGGAGGCGUUACUCGCAGAAGAAGCACCGGCUAACUCCGUGCCAGCCGCCGCGGUAAUUC